rnacentral:lncRNA from 1 species
UCCUGUAUGACAAGAUCUGCUCUAUUGUGUUGGUAUCCAGUUGGCACAAAGCUCCCACUUACACCUCCUUAUCCUCUUGAUUCCAGAACCUGCUUGAUUCAGGUGAAAGAGUCAUUUGAAAGAAGGAUUUUCAUCUCUCCAGAAGAUAUAUUGCAUGGUGAUUUGCUGGCCAAACAAGCUGUUCUUCUCAAAGCAUCCCCUGUGAAGACAGAUGAGCUCAUAGGCAUGUGUAUGGAAGAGUGGGAAGUAAGACUAAGGAGCACGUGA